AGUGAACGCUGGCGGUAGGCCUAACACAUGCAAGUCGAACGGCAGCACAGUAAGAGCUUGCUCUUACGGGUGGCGAGUGGCGGACGGGUGAGGAAUACAUCGGAAUCUACUUUUUCGUGGGGGAUAACGUAGGGAAACUUACGCUAAUACCGCAUACGACCUACGGGUUAAAGCAGGGGAUCUUCGGACCUUUCGCGAUUGAAUGAGCCGAUGUCGGAUUAGCUAGUUGGCGGGGUAAAGGCCCACCAAGGCGACGAUCCGUAGCUGGUCUGAGAGGAUGAUCAGCCACACUGGAACUGAGACACGGUCCAGACUCCUACGGGAGGCAGCAGUGGGGAAUAUUGGACAAUGGGCGCAAGCCUGAUCCAGCCAUACCGCGUGGGUGAAGAAGGCCUUCGGGUUGUAAAGCCCUUUUGUUGGGAAAGAAAGGCAGCAGGUUAAUACCCCGCUGUUCUGACGGUACCCAAAGAAUAAGCACCGGCUAACUUCGUG
rnacentral:rRNA from 1 species